rnacentral:lncRNA from 1 species
UGUUGGGAUUUCUAUACUCUCUUUCAAGAGCUUAGAAAGGCAGAGUCUUCAUCUCUUUACUGAGAGAGAUUGUGAGGGAUCGUUGAAAGGGAGUGUGUCUGCCCAGCAAAAACAGACAACACAAAGAAGCAUUCUGAUGAAACACAAAUAUUGUCAUAGGAGAAAAGAGAUGAGCAGUAAAACCCCAAUUUUAAAGAGGAACAAAGCAGCACUUGUUUAAGGGGAAGACCAUAUGCAUCAAUAAUGUAUAGCCAAAGAGAUGGAUUGAGGAGGAAAAAAGAUCUUCUGACCCCAGCUUCUGGUUUUAUCUUAAUUUUUUUCUGGACUUGUGUGAUUAAGUUAUCUGGACGAGAAGGACAAAGUACAGUAUUCUUUAAUGGAAUAUCAUUGCUUCCACAAUCAGCAGAGAGAGGCACACUGGAGAUUCUGUGAAGAGCAAUUUCCAUCUCUUCCCCUUAUUCGGACCAGACAGAAUUUUAAUCAAAUUACAUAUAUUGAAAAGUUAAAGACAGGAAAAC